AUUCCUAAGAAAAGGAGAAAUAAUUCCAUUGGUUGAGAAGAAUACAGUACUAGAAUUUGGGAUCCCAGCAAAGUUGGUUUGAUAGCAACAUACCUAAUACAGUUAGGAGGAUCAAAAAAAAAAAAAAAUGUAGAGAAGUAGGAGUCAUCUUAAAGAUCAGUAGCUGUGCUGGCUGGUUUUGUGCAAACCUGACACCAGAAAGAGUCAUUUUGGAAGAGGGAAUUUCCAUUGAGGAAAAACACCCCAGCAGUCUGACCUGUGUGUGCGCAAGUUUAUGGGGCAUUUUCUUGGCUGAUGGUUGAUGUGGAAGGGCCUGGCUCACUGUAAGCAGUUGUAUUAAAAAGCGAGGAGGGACAAGCCAGAAAGCACAGUUCCUGCUUCCCUAGGUAAUGAGCUGUAGGCUAUCAGAUGAAACAAACCCUCUCUUACCCAAGUUACUUUUGGUCAUGGAUUUUUAUCACAGCAAUUGAAACGCCAAGACUGAAGUAAACCAAGUGAACGGAAGUUUCUUCUAUAGAGCAGCAUACUUACCACACUGAGACAAGACUUAAUGUAAUCCUUGGGUGUUCUCUGUGCUUCAGAAUUUCCUCAUCAAUAAAAACUGGAUUCG
rnacentral:lncRNA from 1 species